CAAAUUAUAAAUUUCAAUAAAAAUGGGUGAAAAUCAUGUAUUAAUAAGCCCAAAUAUGUUGAUUCCAAGAUGAUAUAUUCCAUCCAAAUAUGUAUCGGUAUGACAAACAUUGAAUUCUGAUUGAAUUUCUAUUGCUGAAAGUAGUGGUACCAAACAAAAGAAAUUUAAUCGUUUUCGAAUAAACUUGAGCACCUAGAUGUAAAUACAUGAAAAUUCAAUUCAUUCCUCCUAUAAAUAAUUUCUUUUUCAGAAGCAUUUUAUCAUUUCAAACAUGAAUUGAUUCAUUAUAAAUACAAACUGUUGUAAAAAUAUGAGAUGGUAUCAUUGAAUGUGGUGGCUUCCAGAACUCCCAGCAAACUCAGAAAAAGCAAAAGUUGAUACCUUUAAGAAAUUGCCUUUCCGUUCCUAAAAUAUUUUCUGACUAAGGUCAAUUCUGCCGUUUACAGCGAAAUAUGCAAGUGCUUACUUACUCAAGGUGGAAAAAAAUAUGUUAUCGAAUAACUUAUUCAAUUGGAAUGAUAUAAUGAUGAUUGGAACACAAUCUAUGGCUAAGUUUUUACGUUAAAAUUCGAUAUUUCUAGAUUUUUGCGAAGUUUUUUCCAUUUUUAAGGUACAAGAAAAAAUAUAAUUUCGAAUAACUCAUCAACGUGAAAACUAUUUCUGUUUGUUAUAUAUCGCUCAAAUUGUAAUUAUUUUGAAGGUGGAUUUGAGAAAGGAUAGAAAUUUGUAGAAGUCAAGGUACCGACGGAGAAAAAUCUGAUAUGUUAUUAUCAACAUACAAGGAUUUUUUUCGGAAGAACCUCAGAAUAAAUAAUAUGACCUUUUCCAAGAAAAUUUAAAUUUUAGAGGUGCGUUAGAAGGUGUUCAAAAGCUGCACUGGUAACGCUGUCAGUGCAACUU